UACGUUUCUCCCCCUUCUUUUAAAAUGGAUUCGCCCACUGCCCGCGAAUUUGAACGCGGAUCGAUCCAUCCCAAUCGUCCCGCGGGGGAGCAGGGCCCAUGCACACCCGGAGCCCGGGAAUCGCGACCACCCACCUCUUCGAACUGCAGCCUCGCGACGACACAGCUGCAUCCACAGCCCUUCUAAGUGGCUGUGAGCAGUUUCUCAGUAUGAACUGUAUAUCAGACUUCUUCACCUACGAGACUACCAAGUCGGUGGUUGUGAAGAGCUGGACCAUUGGGAUCAUCAACCGAGCCGUCCAGCUGCUGAUUAUCUCCUACUUUGUGGGGUGGGUUUUCUUGCAUGAGAAGGCCUACCAAGUGAGGGACACCGCCAUUGAGUCCUCAGUAGUUACAAAGGUGAAAGGCUUCGGGCGCUAUGCCAACAGAGUCAUGGACGUGUCGGAUUAUGUGACCCCACCCCAGGGCACCUCUGUCUUUGUCAUCAUCACCAAAAUGAUCGUUACUGAAAAUCAAAUGCAAGGAUUCUGUCCAGAGAAUGAAGAGAAGUACCGCUGUGUGUCUGACAGCCAGUGUGGGCCUGAACGCUUCCCAGGGAUCCUCACCGGCCGCUGCGUGAACUACAGCUCUGUUCUCCGGACCUGUGAGAUCCAGGGCUGGUGCCCCACUGAGGUGGACACCGUGGAGAUGCCUAUCAUGAUGGAGGCUGAGAACUUCACCAUUUUCAUCAAGAACAGCAUCCGUUUCCCUCUCUUCAACUUUGAGAAGGGAAACCUCCUGCCUAACCUCACCGACAAGGACAUAAAGAGGUGCCGCUUCCACCCUGAAAAGGCCCCAUUUUGCCCCAUCUUGAGGGUAGGGGAUGUGGUUAAGUUUGCUGGACAGGAUUUUGCCAAGCUGGCCCGCACGGGUGGCGUUCUGGGUAUUAAGAUCGGCUGGGUGUGCGAUCUAGACAAGGCCUGGGACCAGUGCAUCCCUAAAUAUUCCUUCACUCGGCUGGAUGGAGUUUCUGAGAAAAGCAGUGUUUCCCCUGGCUACAACUUCAGGUUUGCCAAAUACUAUAAGAUGGAGAACGGCAGCGAGUACCGCACACUCCUGAAGGCUUUUGGCAUCCGCUUUGAUGUGCUGGUAUAUGGGAACGCUGGCAAGUUCAACAUCAUCCCCACCAUUAUCAGCUCGGUGGCGGCCUUCACUUCUGUGGGAGUGGGCACUGUUCUCUGUGACAUCAUCCUGCUCAAUUUCCUCAAAGGGGCUGAUCACUACAAAGCCAGGAAGUUUGAGGAGGUGACUGAGACAACACUGAAGGGUACUGCGUCAACCAACCCAGUGUUCGCCAGUGACCAGGCCACUGUGGAGAAGCAGUCUACAGACUCAGGGGCCUAUUCUAUUGGUCACUAGGGCCUCUUCCCAGGGUUCCAUGCUCACCCUUAGGCUGCAGAACCUGCAAACAGGCCACUCUAUCUAAGCAGUCAGGGGUGGGAGGGGGAGAAGAAGGGCUGCUAUUUCUGCUGUUCACCCCAAAGACUAGAUCCAGAUAUCUAGGCCCUCACUGUUCAACAGAUAGGCAAUGCUUCCCACUAAGACUUGAAUCUUGCCUUUACCCCUUGCAUGCCUCCCACCUGCUUCCCUGGAUCCCAGGACAGCAGCAUCCACCCCUUUCCAAAGGAUUGAGAAAAUGGUAGCUAAGGUUACACCCAUAGGACCUACCACGUACCAAGCACUUCCACACAUAUUAUCCCUUUUCACCCUUAAAAUAAUCCUAUAAGGUAGAUUUCUUGGGUUGUUUGUUUGUUUUGUUAUUAAGAGAAGCAAAGGCCCAGGGAGACCGAGGCGUUUGCCCCAGGCCAUGUAGCUAGGAAGUGAGAUCUACACCCUGGCUAGCCCUUCUGCCCACAUCUGUAAUGGAAGAAUGAACUCUCUAGGCAUCUACCCUUCUGUGUCAGUUGCCUUUCCCUGCCUUCCCAUGAUGCCCAACAGUGAGCUUUUUCAGGAAUGCAGCCCUACUUUAGGGGAGCCCACGGAAAUGCAGAAGGAAAUAGCUGUGACUAUCAGUGAUUUUUCCUUGCCUCACCCCAUAUCGCAAGCUCAAGCUGAGGAAGAGACCUUUAUUCUCCAAUGAGGUCCUCACACAUCCACACAUCUGGGCCCUCACUCCGGAAUCUAGACAGAAAACACACACAUACAUGACCGACAAGAGGCAAUUUCUAACCCUAGCACCAUGUCCCAGUACAUCAGCUGUCUUAGUUUAUAGCACUGUUGGGAAAGCCAUGGUUAGGGGCUGGGGAUGUAGUUGGGUAGGUAGAGUGUUUGUCUAGUAUGUUAGCCCUAAGACCAACCUGCAGCACUUCAUAAACCAGGCACACUUGUAAUCCCAGCACUCGGGAGGUAGGCAUGGAGGAUCAAAAGUUCGAGUUUAUCCUUGCCAACGCAAUAAGUGUGAACCUUGCCUGGAACCCAUGAAACUGUUUCAAAAUAGAAGUGGGGAGACCCAGUAAGACCCAAUACCUUGUGAGCAUUCAGCCAGGGCAGCAAGGCCUGUUUUCACAGGAUCCUAACAGGUGAUCAGGUAGAAGCUAAAGGAGCCUCAGAAACCAUCAUGUCUAGGCCUCUUGCUUACUGAUCAUUAACCCUGAGGCCAAAAAUGAAAAAUUUCUUGCCUUGUGCCAUUGUGAGGGGCCAAGAGAGGACACAGGUGUCCUGUGCAUUAUAAGCUGAAGACAAGUUCACAUUGUCUCCAUAGCCCAGAUGUCCCAUCUCCUUUCUGAGUUUUUAAAGAAAACAAGAGAUGUUGAGGAAGCUCUAAAUGUAGCGGACAAAACUCAAGGACAGAUCAAGGUGUAGGAAAGAAGCAGGUUGAGAGGCUCUUUUGGUUUGGUUUGUUUAUUUGGUUGGUUGGUUGGUUGGUUGGUUGGUUGGUUGGUUGGUUGGUUGGUUGGUUGGUUUUGAUGAAAAGACUUUCCUGUGCAUUCCUGGCUGGCCUCAAUUUACAGAUCUCCUCUCUCAACUCAACUUUUCCCCAGUAUUUGGAUCUGCAGGCAAGCGCCAUUAUACAGCUGGGGGCAUCUCUUUUAAAAGAAUAUAUGAUUAAGUAUCAGAAAAGUUCAUGCAAAUCAGUGGGCCUGAGGUAUACAUUUAAUUAAUAUCAGGGCCAAUCUGCCUCUUAAACAUGGGCUUGAUGCUGAGAGCUUAGAAGAGAUGAGCAUUCAUGUGGACAGAGGGCUGGCCCCUCACCGGACGGUGCAAAGAGAUGUGGGAGAGGGAGAGUCUAGGAGGACCACAGGAGUGCUCACACAGACCCAACCUCAAUGAUGCCCACCCCAGGGGGAGAAGGGGUAAGAGUCCUCCCACUAGCUUCAUCAAUCCUUUCUUCCCUCUGCUUGCCCACAGCCCCAUCAUAAUGUGUGAUGGGGUACUGUCUCCCUAACACCAGUGUCAAUUCCUGGGUAGUAUCCAGAGACCUGGCCAGGCUUCAUCUCUCCAAUAGAGACAUCAGCAAAGGAAAGAGCACAGCCUCCAAGAAGGAAGCUUAUAGCCCCUCAUUGGGCCAAGGCUGAGUUCACCAAGAUGCUCCCUAGAAGAAGAUGGAGACACUGUGUCCUAAGAGGAUCUCAUACCCCAGACUAGAAUAAUUCUUCCCCACAUGCCUGGACCUCUUCUGGGCCUUCAGUAAGUGUGUAAACUCCAUGCUGUACUCUCCUUGUCUGAACCAAGUCCACUUCGAUGUGCUAGAUGUCAGCUAAUCAUAGAAAUUACAACGACCAGCUUGUAUCUGA